GCCCCACUCAGAAUGGGGAUUAUGACACUCGACUUUUAAUCGAGUGGGUUCGGGUUCGAAUCCCGAAUAAGGCA